ensembl:lncRNA uncharacterized LOC114454343
CACAGAGCUAAGCUGUAUAGUGAGACCAACAUAUUACAAAUGGCAACACUCAUUUGAAUCGAAGGACACAGGGAGAAGGCCUUUGGAGUGAGUUUUAACCUUACAUAUGCUGGCGUGCCAUAAAAACCUUCCACUUAUACAACACACGCCCAUUUUUAAUGUCACUGAGCUGCUCUUUGGCUUGAGCAUUAUUUUUCCCUGAAGAACACGUGCUGAAUGGUUCAUCAGGGUUGUUUUUUUUUCCAAUUCUUGCAGGUUUUUAUUAAUAAUUCUGGAAUCUGACUGAUUGCUUGUAUUAAUAUCUGAAUUUUCUACAAUGGCAAAGCACAACAUCACACGUGCUCUUUUCAUUGUGCUGGCGUUGGCCUUUUUCAUCACCACUAUGGUGUUCACAGCUCUGGCAGGACCAGGAUUAUAUCCUUUUCUAUCGAGCACUGGGAAUAUUUCAGCUGACUUCUCCACCCAGAUAACACCAGCUGGUUGGGCAUUCUCCAUUUGGGGAAUAAUUUACUCAUUUCUAGCUUGUUCAUUGGUCUUCAUCCUCUCUGGCCUUUUUAGAAAAAAUGCCUAUGGUUACAUCUACUGCAGCCCUGCUGUGCUGCCACGUGCAUUCUUUAUAACAUGGUGCCUAAAUCUGGGCUUGAAUGUCAGCUGGUUGUUUCUGUGGGACAGAAGGUAUAUGGUUCCUGCUCUUGUAUUUCUCUGCCUCAUCGCAUCAACAAACUAUAAGAUGAUCUUCCUCUCCUGCUAUGGUCUACAAGCAUAUGGACCCUGGCUCAACAAGUACCACAAAGUCGACCUGUGGCUGUAUCGUGUGUUGAUUCAGAAUGGGAUUGCCAUAUACGCAACAUGGACAACCAUUGCAUCACUGCUAAACCUUACCAUUGUCCUGACUAGCAAUGAAGGCAUGUCUCAGACGGAUGCUGCCACCCUGUCACUCUCCAUUUUGGCUGUGAUGGUGGUUGUUUGGUUCAUCCUGGAAAACUCUUACUUCGAAAAACAUGUGAGGUUUAUCCUCAGCAUCUACCCUGUUUUGAUUUGGUCUCUGACUGGGGUGUUGACCAAAAACUACAAUGCAGCUGCUCCCACAAGGAAUGACAUCUUCAUUGCUGCGCUGCUCGCUGUAGCCUGUGUGCUGUGUGCCUCUCGGGUGGUUUUGGUCAUCUGGAGGCAAAUGAUACAGCCCAUUUUCAAAGAUGUGGACCCCGAUGACAUGGUUCCAAUGGAGAUAGCUGAAAGGCAGAAGACAAUCUUUAAAUAAUAUUAGUAAUUAGGUGUUUUGUGCCACAUGGCAGAUGAAAGGGUCAAACUCUAUCAUAAAAUGCAAUUAAAUGGGGUCACCGAAGACAAAAAACACAAACAAAAACAAAGCAUAUUUCUAGAUUUAGAUGGUUUAACCCCCCUCCCCAACCAGAAUAAUAUGCCUAGGUCAAUGUCUGAUGUGUCUGGAUAAUCAAAGAUGGAAUUCUACGGACGUUUCUGGCUAUAGACAGUCCAAUAACAGCCUCAUAAACCUCUAGUGGCCCCAAAGCUUCUUCACCCUUAUCUGAGAAGAAUUAAAUGUUUGUGACUUUAUCAACAAUAUACUUAAGCCUUAGGUUUUGGGAUGAGCAUGCAUUGGGCUUAACCUUAGACACAUUGAUCCUCCCAACUAUCAGUUCUAGGUGUAAGCAUAUCAUCAUUAUAUACUUAAGCCGGGUCACCCUCUUUUUUGUCACUGUACUGGUUUAACAGAUUACACACCACACAAUAUGCACCAGAGUAGCAUCACAUUACACUUUCAGCACAACCAAAAUAACUGUUAACCACUUCAGCCAUUGUCCCACCCUAAAUCCCUCUUCCCUGUUCUUUUCCCCCUCACCCAGGUGUGUAACACUGACCUCUCUUUUUAUUAUAUUUAUUCAAUAAAAUAGAGGAAUUUGUUUCA